rnacentral:tRNA from 1 species
GAGGGUAUAGCUCAAUGGUAGAGUGCCUGCUUAGCACGCACAUGGUCCCAGGUUCAAUCCCCAGUACCUCCA